rnacentral:rRNA from 1 species
AAACCUCCGGGAGGCAGCAGUGGGGAAUAUUGCACAAUGGGGGAAACCCUGAUGCAGCGACGCCGCGUGAGUGAAGAAGUAUUUCGGUAUGUAAAGCUCUAUCAGCAGGGAAGAAGAAGGACGGUACCUGAGUAAGAAGCCCCGGCUAACUACGUGCCAGCAGCCGCGGUAAUACGUAGGGGGCAAGCGUUAUCCGGAAUUACUGGGUGUAAAGGGAGCGUAGACGGCAAUGCAAGUCCGGAGUGGAAUG